UACGAAGGGGGCUAGCGUUGCUCGGAAUCACUGGGCGUAAAGCGCACGUAGGCGGCUUCUUAAGUCAGGGGUGAAAUCCUGGAGCUCAACUCCAGAACUGCCUUUGAUACUGAGGAGCUUGAGUCCGGGAGAGGUGAGUGGAACUGCGAGUGUAGAGGUGAAAUUCGUAGAUAUUCGCAAGAACACCAGUGGCGAAGGCGGCUCACUGGCCCGGUACUGACGCUGAUGCGCGAAAGCGUGGGGAGCAAACAGG
rnacentral:rRNA from 1 species